AGUGAACGCUGGCGGUAGGCCUAACACAUGCAAGUCGAACGGCAGCACAGUAAGAGCUUGCUCUUACGGGUGGCGAGUGGCGGACGGGUGAGGAAUACAUCGGACUCUACUUUUUCGUGGGGGAUAACGUAGGGAAACUUACGCUAAUACCGCAUACGACCUACGGGUGAAAGCAGGGGAUCUUCGGACCUUGCGCGAUUGAAUGAGCCGAUGUCGGAUUAGCUAGUUGGCGGGGUAAAGGCCCACCAAGGCGACGAUCCGUAGCUGGUCUGAGAGGAUGAUCAGCCACACUGGAACUGAGACACGGUCCAGACUCCUACGGGAGGCAGCAGUGGGGAAUAUUGGACAAUGGGCGAAAGCCUGAUCCAGCCAUACCGCGUGGGUGAAGAAGGCCUUCGGGUUGUAAAGCCCUUUUGUUGGGAAAGAAAAGCAGCAGGUUAAUACCCCGCUGUUCUGACGGUACCCAAAGAAUAAGCACCGGCUAACUUCGUG
rnacentral:rRNA from 1 species